GCGGGUGUGGUGUAGUCUGGUAUCACUUUAGCUUGCCAAGCUAAUAACUCGGGUUCAAAUCCCGGCACCCGCA
rnacentral:tRNA from 1 species